rnacentral:lncRNA from 1 species
GGGGAAUCCCAAGUCCACUGGCCUUUAGAAGAGGGAGAUGGGAGGUGAAACAGAAGGAAGAGGGCCUCCGGGAAGAAAAUUAGGGACUGUCUAUGAUAUCCAGGGAUUUUGCAAAGACAGUGAGGAUUGUCUGUGAUUACUGAUAGAGCCCCAAGCAGUUGGCUUCUCUAACAGUCUUCUGUGUCCCUUAGUGAAGGCAGAUGUGCAGUGAAGAGGUUAAACACCAAUCCCUGGCUGCUACUGCGGUCUUGAAAUGAUUGGAUUUGUCAAAAGAAUGGAACUUUCCUUGUUGGGAAGUGGGCACAAAGACGCAAACCCGGGGCUUACCCCACCGGACGAUGCAUGGAAUGUGAACACAGGUUAAUUAUUUCAAAAAUGUGUAUCAGAUGUUAUUUAAAUGAUAAUAUAUGCAAUGAUUUUUUCCCAUAAUUUAUCGAAGCCUGUGAGAUGCACUGAAUUUCCUUUGUCACGUAGUUUUGAUUUUGCAGCCUUCUGCAUUGCACACGUGAGCCAGGCAUUAGGGCAAGCUUGAGAG